GCCCCAAAGAUCAGCGGUAGACCAGCCUCUCUUGUUAUACUUGCAGAGGAGUGAGCUGAGCGGAUGCAGGUUCAACUCCUGCUUGGGGCA